rnacentral:misc_RNA from 1 species
CAAAUUUGAGUUAUAGUGUUAUGAUGAGAUCCAUAUUGAAAAACAUAAUCUCAUAUCUUGGCAAUUCAGUAAGCAAUAAAAAGAAUUGUACCAGGAGGCAUUGUUUGGAAGACAAUUAUACUCCAUUUUAAUAUUCAUUACUACCUGUUCCCUUUCUCCUAUUCUGUACCAGGGGAGCUCUAAGAUUAAUCAUAGCAUAAUUGGCAGCUUAAAG